rnacentral:rRNA from 1 species
CCUACGGGAGGCAGCAGUGGGGGAUAUUGCACAAUGGGGGGAACCCUGAUGCAGCGACGCCGCGUGGGUGAAGGAGCGUUUCGGCGCGUAAAGCCCUAUUGGCAGGGAAGAAGAUGACGGUACCUGACCAAGAAGCACCGGCUAACUACGUGCCAGCAGCCGCGGUAAUACGUAGGGGGCAAGCGUUAUCCGGAUUUACUGGGUGGAAAGGGGGCGGAGACGGCAAUGCAAGCCAGGUGUGAAAGCCCGGGGCCCAACCCCGGGACUGCUCUUGGAACUGCAUGGCUGGAGUACAGGAGGGGCAGGCGGAAUUCCUAGUGUAGCGGUGAAAUGCGUAGAUAUUAGGAGGAACACCGGUGGCGAAGGCGGCCUGCUGGACUGUGACUGACGUUGAGGCCCGAAGGCGUGGGGAGCAAACAGGAUUAGAUACCCCGGUAGUC